rnacentral:lncRNA from 1 species
ACGAGGAGAAAUCCCCACCAGAGGACUAGCUGGUAACCCUGCUCCUGCUGGGACACACAGCAAAGGGCCUGCCACAGCUCCAUCCCACCAGUGCUACUCUGCCUACCUCACCUGUGAGUCCUGAUAUGCAUUUCCUCCUGUUCUCAGAUGCAGAAGGUUCGGGAGAGUUUUCUCCAAGGCCACAGCUAUCAUCGGUCCUGUAAAUGAUUGCAGUGGCACCAGCUCCUGUCCUUGACUGUGCUUCUUUGUCAAGCGAGGCAGCGAUAGCAAUCACUCCGGUGUUUAGCAAACCCGCAGAUCACUAUUGCCAAUCUUUGUAUAAACAAGAACUAAUUAAUCUUCACCACAUCUCUCUAAAGAAGGAUGCCAGCAGGAACUGAGACUGCUCUUUGAUUCAGCGAUAAUGAGUGAACAUUGCACCAACGACAUUUACAUUUUGCCAGUGGUAUGAAAAAACACAAGACUAUUCUUCUGAGUUCAGAUUUAGGCCCCCAAACGCACGCUGAUUUCCUGAAGUUGGAGCACUCCGAGGCUGCUAUUGAUGUGAACGAACAUCUUGGCAAUUUAGCAAAAGAUGACAUCAGACAUGAAAGGUAAAUGCAGGGCGGGUGAUUACCUGUAAAUGUUCCUCCUGGAGGAUCUUCUUCUCAGAAGCACAUUAACCCAUCUUCCUCAUCUCUUUCCCCUGCUGCAGGUGAAAUCAAAUUUUCAUAAGUUUCUGCCAUAUCUGCUUCAUCGGGAAGCUCGGGAAAUAUAUUAGGAGCACGGCUGCAGGCUCUGUGUGGAGGCACUGUGCUGCCACGUACCGUGUCAAACUAUUAUCUAGGCUUCCUGCUGACUGGCGCUGCUGGAGAAAGCUGAACUUUGGCUUUUGGGGAGGCAGCUAGAAGCAAUUUGGUCCGAGCAUCGCAUCUCUGGCAGGAAGGAGGCUGCGGUUUUCAUCUCACGCAGACCUCUGAGGCCACCGACAGGGGCUGUGGCGGUUCAGGCAGGGGCUGUGGAGCACCAGCAGCCCCACAGGGCUGGAAGUCACCUGGAGACCUUGGUCUCCUUCCCUACUGGGAAGCAACAAAAAGGGCAAACGUCACAUGUUGAUGUCCACUGCCCGGGUGGGCAUAGGGACCUGGCUGGUGUUAGGGCUAUAAAAAAUGUGUGCACA